ACUCGAGGUUUACCAGCACUGACACAUCAUUGUGUCUAUCUCUCUAAGAGAGAGAGAGAGUGUUUCAAGGGAUAUAGUUAUGGCUCAGACACACCAGCUUUGACAUCUAUUAACUUUAAGUAAUUGAGGACCUAAUUGUGUAUCAAGUGAAAUGCUGUACAAUGUUUUGAUAUAAGUAAAGCACUUCUGAGUCAGAAUUGUAUUAUCUGAACAAAACAUAACCAUGCUAAUUGACUCUGCUAAUUACAAUGAGAAAAGCAAAAUGGGCUCUUAACAAACACAAGAACUGAAAUAAGAUGUCUAAGAAAGGCAAAAGCAGUGGGAAUGAAAAGGAUUGUUGGUUGCACAUCGAUGAGUAAUUUUCAAUGAAAAUAUAUUGAUUUAGACAAUGAUAACAAUGUCACUUAAAGACACUUCCGAGGACAUACAACAACAAAUGCUUGGGAUUCUGAUCAAAUUAGAAGAUCAAGAAAUACUAAAUGUUAUUGCAUUUCAUCAAGUCUCACAUCUUGAGAGAGAUUCUUAUAUCAAGUUUUCCCCCUAACUCUCAGGCAUCAGAAGCACAAGACAAACUUGUACAUUCUACACUAGCUGAAUUUACCUUUUUUUUUUUUGCUAGCUAGAGUGUCUAUAAACUUAGCAUACAUAACGCAUUUAAACUGACCAGUUGGGCCACUGUAAGCUCCACCAGUUCUCUGAACUUGAUCUUCUGCUCUUUGUGAGUGUCAUACAAAUGCUUCAUCAGCUUGGCAAUGACUUCUGUGUCUGUUUCAGUCUCAAAGAUGUGACCAUUCUGUGUC